GUGAAUCAUCAAAUUUUUGAACGCAAAUUGCACUCUCUUCGGAGAGUAUGCCUGUUUGAGGGUCAGCCUAAAAAAAAUAGAUGUAGUCGCUGUUUCGCGGUGACAUUAGUCGGAUAUUGGGUCAUCUUAAACUUUUGGGUUUUUUAAGCGGCUUAAAAAUUUUUUUACGUUUGCACGAAUGUUUCUAAGAUUUUACUUCUUACGUACGUUUAAGG
rnacentral:misc_RNA from 1 species